CGAAUCUCUGACUAACUGUCUGUUGAACCAUUAGUCCAACCUUAGAACUUCCUGUGAACGAGACGAGAGGUAUCCGUGUGUCACGAGCUAUUGCUUGACCAAUUUCAGCACCUCCGCAGAAUGAUGUAAAAAUUGCACUUGGUAGACUGUUUUUUUCCAAAACCUCAGCAACUAGCUUGGUCAUUGCGAUGGUGAUCAAUGGGGUUGUUGGGGCACCUUUCCAAACAACCGAGUUCCCACAGACUAGCGCAAUGCAAGCAUUCCAACCGAGAACAGCACAUGGAAAGUUGAAAGCUGUGAUGACACCUACUAUUCCCAGUGGAUUCCACACCUCCAUCAUCAUAUGAUUAGGACGUUCAGACGGUAUGAUUGAUCCAUUUAGUUGUCUGCUUAAGCCCACAGCAUAAUCACACAUGUCGAUAAUUUCCUGAACUUCUCCAAUUCCUUCAGGAAGUAUCUUCCCCAUCUCUAGUGAAACGAGUCUACCAAGAAGCUCGAGCUUGUUCCUCAAUGCGUCACCAAUCUGCCUUACAAUAUCCCCCCUCUUUGGAGCUGGAAUCUGCAUCCAUAACUUGGUGGCGUCGAAGCAGGCCUUCAACCCGUCCUCGUAAUCAUCAACAGACGCCUCCACCACCUCCGCGAUGACCUGGUUGUUGGCGGGGUUCGUGGAGGCGACGACGGGGCCGCUGCCGGUCCAGGCGCCGUUGGCGAAGCAGCCGGGGUUGCGGGGAGCGAGGCCGAGCUCGGAGAGGAACUGGUACUCUUUGGGGAAAGCCAUCAGUGAGGCGAUCGGCGACGGAGGGGAUGGAGGAGAAUGGGAAUGCGACGAAUCGACAAUGCCGG
rnacentral:misc_RNA from 1 species